CUGAGCCUGGCAUUGUUAUUUUACCAUCCAUUCAUCAAAACCAAACUAGUUGCAACCAACAAACCAGCAGAAAAACCUUGUGCUAAAAAACUGCAUCUUGGCCAUCUUCCAAAGGGCUGUCAAAACUUCAAAGUGACAAAUGCAUUGCCCUGCCACAAACAACAUAAAACAGAACUCUUGAACAUUUUCUGUCAUGAGGAACCAAUGACAGCAACAAACCAAUAGAACACAACCAACUCACUCAUGCUAAAAUCCUG
rnacentral:lncRNA from 1 species